UGGUCUCCGGGGUCAGUGCCACCGCGGACCCGCCUCCUCUCCCCGCAGUGAUCGUGUUGGGCAGGUCCUGCUGGUCCCAGGGGGUGCCCUUCCCGCACGGGAGCUCCUGGGUGGAGGACUGCAACAGCUGCCGCUGCCUGGAUGGCCGCCGGGACUGCAGCAAGGUGUGGUGCGGACGGAAGCCUUGCCUGCUGGCCAGCCGGCCCAACACACUGAGCGCCCAGUGCCCCCCGGGCCAGCAGUGUGGGGAGAGGGCCCCGGGACAGUGCCUGCAGCCGCCCUGCGCGGCCUGGGGGGAGUGUGGCCCCGAGAAGCCCCUGCUGCCCAGCACCCCCUGCGUGCCGCGCUCCGGGCACCUGGACAACAACUGCGCCCGCCUCACGCUGCGCUUCGACCGCGACCAGGUGCCCCAGGGUACCACGGUGGGCGCCAUCUGCUCGGGGAUUCGCGCCCUGCCGGCCACGCGGGCAGUGGCCCGGGACCGCCUCCUUGUGCUGCUGUGUGACAGGCCGUCCACGGAGGCCAGCGCCGUGGAGGUGGCCAUGGU